UUACCAUUUAUGGAGUGUUUUUUUAUGGGCCAGGCAGUGAUAUAUACUUUAUUCAUAUUAUCCCAUCAAAUUUCCAGAACAAUGAAGUCCUAUAUUUUGCCCAGUUUACAGAUAAGGAAGUUGGAGAGUUGCUUAUAGUGUACAUCUGCUAAGUGGCACCUCUCCUUGAUUGUGGUUCUCUUGAUGACGGGACAAGAAGAUGUCAGGGCAAGGGAGAGACCGACCAAGCAGCCAAGGACCAGCCUGUGGCCCAAGUGACAGUCAUGAGCAUUACAUCUUCCCAAGAAACUUCUGGGUAUUAAGGCCCAAUUUAAGAACAAUGACAAGAGAUCAACUGUGUCUGACAUAAAUCCUGCUGAUUCUACUGACCAUCUCAGCCCAGCACUGGUGCCCUGGCUGACAGACACCCCUAGACUGGAUCUCCUGUGCCUCUUUGGAAGGAUCAUGAGUCUGCAAUCAGCAUCACUGGGCCGAAAUCAAAGCGGUGGUGGGGCCCUGCUCCCCGCAGAGACUGGAGGAGACGUUGUUCCCUGCCUCUUCUGGCUUCCAGCUUCCGGUGGCCGCCAUCAUUCCUCGGCAUCGGCUUGUGACUGCAUCACUCUGUUCUCUGCCCUGUGGGCCCAUCGUCUUCUCCUCCGUGGUGCUAGCCUUUCUGCAGGUUCCAAUGCAAGUCUCACUUCAAAUAGGAGAGAAUUUUCUUUAACCUUGACACGUGGAACCGUUCCUUGUCAUGCUGCCAAAUGCAAUUUGUUUUCUCCCCAGAUCUCCAAUAUGAUCAGUACCUACUUACCCCGAGGACACCUGCCAGGAGUCUCCAUCGAUUGUCAAGGGAUGCGGAUGCAGCCCCACCUACAUCAUGUCUGGUCAGAGAGCUGUUGCAGGCGUGUCUGGUCCUGACCACCUGGAACCUGAACUCUGCUUCUGGGCCAAGUCAGAAGGAUCCACAAGCUUCUGACCUUUACGUUCUCAACAAGGAGAUAUGCCUACAGUGGGGCAGAGCCUCUAAUCCUGCUUUAUGACACAGUACUUCUUGAUGGUACGAGGUUUCUGUGGGUGCCAGCCCAGGUCAUGAAGGCCACCCUUUCUUCUCCUGUCCCUCCUGCCUUUGAUGUUUUCCAUCAGUCAAGAGAGU